GGAUGUGAGGGCGAUCUGGCUGCGACAUCUGUCACCCCAUUGAUUGCCAGGGUUGCUUCGGCUGAUCUGGCUGGCCAGGCGGGUGUCCCCUUCCUCCCUCACCACUCCAUGUGCAUCCCUCCCAAAGCUGCAUGCUUGGUUGAAGAGGAUGACCACCCCCAGUAGAGGAGGACAUUUUUCUCAGUCAAGGGUAUAUGAAACGUCGUGCUACCCUGCUAGCACUGCCAAACAAGCUCUCAAUAUACAGAAACAACAAAGGGGCAAAUUAGAAUGGGAAGGUUCUAUAUAUAGCCAUGUAAGUAUGUAUGCUUUAUUU
rnacentral:snRNA from 1 species